rnacentral:rRNA from 1 species
GACGAACGCUGGCGGCGUGCUUAACACAUGCAAGUCGAACGGAAAGGCCCUGCUUUUGUGGGGUGCUCGAGUGGCGAACGGGUGAGUAACACGUGAGUAACCUGUCCUUGACUUUGGGAUAACUUCAGGAAACUGGGGCUAAUACCGGAUAGGAGCUCCUGCUGCAUGGUGGGGGUUGGAAAGUUUCGGCGGUUGGGGAUGGACUCGCGGCUUAUCAGCUUGUUGGUGGGGUAGUGGCUUACCAAGGCUUUGACGGGUAGCCGGCCUGAGAGGGGUACCGGCCACAUGGCGACUGAGAUACGGACCAGACUCCUACGGGAGGCAGCAGUGGAGAAUCUUGCGCAGUGGGCGGAAGCCUGAUGCAGCAACGCCGCGUGCGGGAUGACGGCCUUCGGGUGGUGAACCGCUUUCGCCUGUGACGAGGCGUGAGUGACGGUAAUGGGUAAAAAAGCACCGGCUAACUACGUG